rnacentral:rRNA from 1 species
AUUGAACGCUGGCGGCAGGCCUAACACAUGCAAGUCGAGCGGAUGAAGGGAGCUUGCUCCUGGAUUCAGCGGCGGACGGGUGAGUAAUGCCUAGGAAUCUGCCUGGUAGUGGGGGAUAACGUCCGGAAACGGGCGCUAAUACCGCAUACGUCCUGAGGGAGAAAGUGGGGGAUCUUCGGACCUCACGCUAUCAGAUGAGCCUAGGUCGGAUUAGCUAGUUGGUGGGGUAAAGGCCUACCAAGGCGACGAUCCGUAACUGGUCUGAGAGGAUGAUCAGUCACACUGGAACUGAGACACGGUCCAGACUCCUACGGGAGGCAGCAGCGGGGAAUAUUGGACAAUGGGCGAAAGCCUGAUCCAGCCAUGCCGCGUGUGUGAAGAAGGUCUUCGGAUUGUAAAGCACCUUAAGUUGGGAGGAAGGGCAGUAAGUUAAUACCUUGCUGUUUUGACGUUACCAACAGAAUAAGCACCGGCUAACUUCGUG